GAUGAACGCUGGCGGCGUGCCUAAUACAUGCAAGUCGAGCGAACAGACGAGGAGCUUGCUCCUCUGACGUUAGCGGCGGACGGGUGAGUAACACGUGGAUAACCUACCUAUAAGACUGGGAUAAAUUCGGGAAACCGGAGCUAAUACCGGAUAAUAUAUUGAACCGCAUGGUUCAAUAGUGAAAGACGGUUUUGCUGUCACUUAUAGAUGGAUCCGCGCCGCAUUAGCUAGUUGGUAAGGUAACGGCUUACCAAGGCAACGAUGCGUAGCCGACCUGAGAGGGUGAUCGGCCACACUGGAACUGAGACACGGUCCAGACUCCUACGGGAGGCAGCAGUAGGGAAUCUUCCGCAAUGGGCGAAAGCCUGACGGAGCAACGCCGCGUGAGUGAUGAAGGUCUUCUGAUCGUAAAACUCUGUUAUUAGGGAAGAACAAAUGUGUAAGUAACUAUGCACGUCUUGACGGUACCUAAUCAGAAAGCCACGGCUAACUACGUG
rnacentral:rRNA from 1 species